rnacentral:rRNA from 1 species
GGAAUAUUGGACAAUGGGGGAAACCCUGAUCCAGCGACGCCGCGUGGGUGAAGAAGGCCUGCGGGUUGUAAAGCCCUUUCGGUGGGGAAGAAAAGCCUCGACCUAAUACGUCGGGGUCUUGACGUAACCCACAAAAGAAGCACCGGCUAACUCUGUGCCAGCAGCCGCGGUAAUACAGAGGGUGCGAGCGUUAAUCGGAAUUACUGGGCGUAAAGCGCACGUAGGCGGCUCUGCAAGUCGGGUGUGAAAUCCCCGGGCUCAACCUGGGAACUGCAUUCGAUACUGCAUUGCUGGAGUAUGGGAGAGGGAAGUGGAAUUUCCGGUGUAGCGGUGAAAUGCGUAGAUAUCUGGAGGAACACCGGUGGCGAAGGCGGCAUCCUGGACCGGCAUUGACGCUGAGGCGCGAAAGCCAGGGGAGCAAAC